CUUUCAACAACGGAUCUCUUGGUUCUGGCAUCGAUGAAGAACGCAGCGAAAUGCGAUACGUAGUGUGAAUUGCAGAAUUCAGUGAAUCAUCGAAUCUUUGAACGCACAUUGCGCCCUUUGGUAUUCCAAAGGGCAUGCCUGUUCGAGCGUC
rnacentral:rRNA from 1 species